rnacentral:rRNA from 1 species
AUUUAACGCUGGCGGCAGGCCUAACACAUGCAAGUCGAGCGGAGCGGCGGACGGGUGAGUAAUGCCUAGGAAUCUGCCUGGUAGUGGGGGAUAACGUCCGGAAACGGGCGCUAAUACCGCAUACUAUCAGAUGAGCCUAGGUUGGAUUAGCUAGUUGGUGGGGUAAAGGCCUACCAGGGCGACGAUCCGUACCUGGUCUGAGAGGAUGAUCAGUCACACUGGAACCGAGACACGGUCCAGACUCCAACGGGAGGGAGCAUUGGGGAAUAAUGUCCAAUGGGCGGAAGCCUGGUCCAGCCAUGCCGCGUGUGUGAAGAAGGUCUUCGGAUUGUAAAGCACUUUAAGUUGGGAGGCGUUACCAACAGAAUAAGCACCGGCUAACUGCGUGCCAGCAGCCGCGGUAAUAC